UCAAGUUAGAAAGGGCAUACGGUGGAUGCCUAGGCGCUAAGAGACGAAGAAGGGCGUGGUAAGCUACGAAAAGCUACGGUGAGCAGCAAGCAGGCUUUGACCCGUAGAUACCCGAAUGGGGCAACCCAGCCGGAGUCAUAUCCGGCUAUCGUAUGGUGAAUACAUAGCCAUACGAAGACAACCCGGGGAACUGAAACAUCUAAGUACCCGGAGGAAGAGAAAGAAAAUCGAUUCCCCUAGUAGCGGCGAGCGAAGAGGGAAGAGCCUAAACCGUAGUUCUUCGGAACUGCGGGGUUGUGGGACUCUCAUAAACGAAGGAAAACAUAGCCGAAGCGGACUGGAAAGUCCCGUCAUAGGAGGUAAAAACCCUGUAGGCGAAAUGUUGAACUAAGGGGAGAGUAUCCCGAGUACCGCGGAGCACGUGGAAUUCCGUGGGAAUCAGCGAGGACCAUCUCGUAAGGCUAAAUACUCCUUAGCGACCGAUAGCGCAUAGUACCGUGAGGGAAAGGUGAAAAGCACCCCGGGAGGGGAGUGAAAUAGUACCUGAAACCGUAUGCUUACAAGCAAUCAGAGCCUGACUUCGGUCGGGUGAUGGUGUGCCUUUUGUAGAAUGAACUGGCGAGUUGCGGUAGCAAGCAAGGUUAAGGUGAGAAGCCGGAGCCGAAGCGAAAGCGAGUCUGAAUAGGGCGAACUAGUUUGCUGCUGCAGACCCGAAACCGGGUGAUCUACCCAUGUCCAGGGUGAAACGCAAGUAAAAUUGCGCGGAGGCCCGAACCAACCGUCGUUGAAAAGGCGGUGGAUGAGGUGUGGGUAGGGGUGAAAAGCCAAUCGAACCCGGAGAUAGCUGGUACUCCUCGAAAUAGCUUUAGGGCUAGCCUCAAGAGAAGAUUGAUGGAGGUAGAGCACUGACUAGGCUAGGGGUCUUCACGGAUUACCGAACCUUCUCAAACUCCGAAUACCAUCAAUUAAGCUUGGGAGUCAGACUGUGGGUGCUAAGAUUCAUAGUCGAGAGGGAAACAGCCCAGACCGACAGCUAAGGUCCCAAAGUUCAGGCUAAGUGGGAAAGGAUGUGGAAUCGCAAAGACAACCAGGAUGUUGGCUCAGAAGCAGCCACCAUUUAAAGAGUGCGUAAUAGCUCACUGGUCCAGGGGUUCUGCGCCGAAAAUGUACCGGGGCUAAAGCCUGACACCGAAGCUUCGGAUGUCAAUAUGACAUGGUAGGGGAGCAUUGUAGCGGCGUCGAAGCUGUACCGGGAGGUAUGGUGGAGCUUCUACAAGAGAGAAUGCCAGUAUUAGUACACGAAAAAACAAGUGAGAAUCUUGUUCGCCGAAAACCUAAGGAUUCCUGGGGAAGGUUCGUCCGCCCAGGGUAAGUCGGGACCUAAGCCGAGGCCGAAAGGCGUAGGCGAUGGACAAUCGGUUGAAAUUCCGAUACCACUCUUAAACGAUUGAGUGAAGCAGGGACACAGGAGGGUAAGUUGAACGCACGGCUGGAAGAGUGCGUCCAAGCGUCAAGGUAGCAGGAUAGGGAAGUCCGUCCUGCGUUGAUACCAAGACGUGAUGGGGAGGGAAAUUAAGUACCGAAGCAACUGUGCUCACACUGGCAAGAAAAGCUGCUAACGAGUGAAAGAGUGCCCGUACCGCAAACCGACACAGGUAGGUAGGGUGAGGAACCUAAGGCGCGCGAGAGAACCCUCGUUAAGGAACUCGGCAAAAAGACCCCGUAACUUCGGGAGAAGGGGUGCCACUAGCAAUAGUGGCCGCAGAGAAGAGGCCCAGGCGACUGUUUAACAAAAACACAGGUGCUUGCGAAAAUGAAAGUUGACGUAUAAGUGCUGACGCCUGCCCGGUGCUGGAAGGUUAAGGGAAGAGGUUAGUGAGGAAACAAACGAAGCUUUGAACCGAAGCCCCAGUAAACGGCGGCCGUAACUAUAACGGUCCUAAGGUAGCGAAAUUCCUUGUCGGGUAAGUUCCGACCCGCACGAAAGGCGUAACGAUCUGGGCGCUGUCUCAACGAGGGACUCGGUGAAAUUGAAAUACCGGUAAAGAUGCCGGUUACCUGCGAUAGGACAGAAAGACCCCAUGGAGCUUUACUGUAGCCUGAUAUUGGAUUUUGGUACGUCAUGUACAGCAUAGGUGGGAGACUGGGAAGCCAGGGCGCCAGCCUUGGUGGAGUCAUCAUUUGGAUACCACUCUUGAAGUACCGAAAUUCUAACCUGGACCCCUAAGCGGGGUUGGGAACAGUGUCAGGUGGGCAGUUUGACUGGGGCGGUCGCCUCCCAAAGAGUAACGGAGGCGUCCAAAGGUUCCCUCAGCGCGGACGGAAAUCGCGCGAAGAGUGUAAAGGCAGAAGGGAGCUUAACUGCGAGACCAACAAGUCGAGCAGGGACGAAAGUCGGGCUUAGUGAUCCGGUGGUUCCGCAUGGAAGGGCCAUCGCUCAACGGAUAAAAGCUACCCUGGGGAUAACAGGCUUAUCUCCCCCAAGAGUUCACAUCGACGGGGAGGUUUGGCACCUCGAUGUCGGCUCAUCGCAUCCUGGAGCUGUAGUAGGUUCCAAGGGUUGGGCUGUUCGCCCAUUAAAGCGGUACGUGAGCUGGGUUCAGAACGUCGUGAGACAGUUCGGUCCCUAUCCAUCGCAGGCGGAGGAAAUUUGAGGGGAGCUGACCCUAGUACGAGAGGACCGGGUUGGACAGACCUCUGGUGUACCAGUUGUCCCGCCAGGGGCAUUGCUGGGUAGCUAUGUCUGGUAGGGAUAAGCGCUGAAAGCAUCUAAGCGCGAAGCCCACCCCAAGAUGAGAUUUCCCACAGGGUUAACCUGGUAAGGCCCCUGAAAGAUGAUCAGGUUGAUAGGCCGGAGGUGUAAGUACAGCAAUGUAUUGAGCUGACCGGUACUAAUAGGCCGAGGGCUUGACCUA
rnacentral:rRNA from 1 species